rnacentral:siRNA from 1 species
UGAAGACAUGAUAACAGCAGUGUA